rnacentral:rRNA from 1 species
GAUGAACGCUAGCGGGAGGCUUAACACAUGCAAGUCGAGGGGCAUCGCGGUGCAGCAAUGCACUGGCGGCGACCGGCGUACGGGUGCGUAACGCGUAUGCAACCUGCCCCGCACCGGGGGAUAGCCCGCCGAAAGGCGGAUUAAUACCCCAUGGUCCCGGGGGCCCGCAUGGGCAUCCGGGUAAAGCCUUGGCGGUGCGGGAUGGGCAUGCGUGCCAUUAGCUGGCUGGUGGGGUAACGGCCCACCAGGGCAACGAUGGCUAGGGGGUCUGAGAGGAUGGUCCCCCACACUGGUACUGAGACACGGACCAGACUCCUACGGGAGGCAGCAGUGAGGAAUAUUGGUCAAUGGGCGGAAGCCUGAACCAGCCAUGCCGCGUGCGGGAUGAAGGCCCUACGGGUUGUAAAGCUCUUUUGUCCGGAAAGAAAAGCGCCGGGUUAAUACCCUAGUGUCCUGACGGUACCGGAAGAAUAAGCACCGGCUAACUUCGUG